CAGCAGCCGCGGGAAUACGUAGGGUGCAAGCGUUAAUCGGAAUUACUGGGCGUAAAGCGUGCGCAGGCGGUUCUAUAAGACAGAUGUGAAAUCCCCGGGCUCAACCUGGGACCUGCAUUUGUGACUGUAGAGCUGGAGUGCGGCAGAGGGGGAUGGAAUUCCGCGUGUAGCAGUGAAAUGCGUAGAUAUGCGGAGGAACACCGAUGGCGAAGGCAAUCCCCUGGGCCUGCACUGACGCUCAUGCACGAAAGCGUGGGGAGCAAACAGGAUUAGAUACCCCAGUAGUCCCUGUCUCUUAUAC
rnacentral:rRNA from 1 species